CUAGCGCUUCCUGAGGACUCCAAGCACUGCAGCAGACACCACAACCACCGAACCAGAGAAGCAUACGAAUGCUGUAAGCAGCUGAACAGGAAAAGCAUACAAUCAGCUUACACUCCUGGCAAUCAGCAUACAAUCCAAUUCCCCCAAUAACGAGACGACACUUAAUUUUGAGGUCAAGCAGAACUGACUGUACUGGCACAUACAGCC